CGAAGAAUGGGAACAGCGAAUGGGUUUCGGCCACGCGUACCUUACAUUUGGAGCCACUGCGCGAGCUGGGUGGGGUUGAGGACGCCGGGGACGUGGGCCCCAUCCGUGAGAAGCAGGUGCGCCACGUCGGCGUACGACCGCGGCGCCUUGGCGGAGCCCCGCUCCCCGCUCGGCUCGGCUCGGGCUCGGGCCCUGGGGUUGGGGUCCCAGGCCUUGCCGAGGAUGGUCCCGCGCGUGAGGAACUCGUGCGCCAGGUAACCGGCUAGGAGCCGGUUCCCGGUCUUAUCCGGCUCAGCUUUGAGCUGCGGCGGCGCCGGAAUCUGCUCGGCUACCGGCGGCGCGCCGGUCCCCGAGCNUGACAAGAGUUUCUGAGACGACAUAAUUAUCAAAUAGGACUAAGCGUAUCUACCUUGGGCAAUAGAUUGUAAUGUUGUUUGAUGAAGAGUGUAAUGCUUUUAGAAAAACUUGUUUCUAAAAAUGCCAAAUUAAAACUUAUUCCUUUGAGACUCCAAAUCUAAUUUCUGCUUCCGCCACAUCAGAAGCUUUAAAUACGUCGCUUUACCAAAACACUCUGCAAAAGACUGUUAUUACAAAAACCAAAAAUAAAAAAAGUCCAAAUCGACUAAAAAUUGUCGAUAUAAGCAAUAGAUCAGAUAUCACCAACCGUUUCACGUGACAAAAGUUUAAUGGUUCGUAUCCGAAAUUUUAAUUUCAAAAUCAAAUUAUUUAUAUGUUCAGCUAAAUUUAUUUAUUUAUUUUUUAAAUGAGUGAGUUAUUUUGUCUCUCGCAUUCCCCAACAUCAGUGACCAAACAAUAAAUCAUACUUCACAUCCACGCACAGAGUCACAGCUGCUACUUUUUCUCAACAAGCUAUAAAAAAAGUACCCCUUCAUGCACGUGCGCUUGCACGAGAAUUGAGAACAAAGAACAGAGACAAUAAUAAGAGGAGAACAACACCGAGUUCAUGGAACUGUCGCUUCAUUUUACAACACGAGUUUCCGAAUAAGAGGGAAAUUUAAAAUCCAAAAUUGCAAAAACAGGAAGAAAAAAAAAAAAAAGUGAAAAAAAAAAAAGGAAAAAAAAAAAAAAAAGAACGACCAUACUCUUCUCCUCUCUCUUUUUUUUUUUUUCUUUUUUUUUUUUUUGGCCUUCACGUUCUGUUUACCUCGGGUCACUCGCUUCCUCGAGAUUCGUGCGACGCAGCGGAGCGGAGGAGAGAGAGGCCUCUCUCUCUCUCUCUCUACUCUCGAGUCCCCGAAGAAUGGGAACAGCGAAUGGGUUUCGGCCACGCGUACCUUACAUUUGGAGCCACUGCGCGAGCUGGGUGGGGUUGAGGACGCCGGGGACGUGGGCCCCAUCCGUGAGAAGCAGGUGCGCCACGUCGGCGUACGACCGCGGCGCCUUGGCGGAGCCCCGCUCCCCGCUCGGCUCGGCUCGGGAUCGGGCCCUGGGGUUGGGGUCCCAGGCCUUGCCGAGGAUGGUCCCGCGCGUGAGGAACUCGUGCGCCAGGUAACCGGCUAGGAGCCGGUUCCCGGUCUUAUCCGGCUCAGCUUUGAGCUGCGGCGGCGCCGGAAUCUGCUCGGCUACCGGCGGCGCGCCGGUCCCCGAGCCGAGGUCGCGCUCCUUGCGCUUCUUGCUCGACGACGACGGCGCCACC
rnacentral:lncRNA from 1 species